rnacentral:rRNA from 1 species
UACGUAGGGUGCGAGCGUUAAUCGGAAUUACUGGGCGUAAAGCGUGCGCAGGCGGUUUUGUAAGACAGGCGUGAAAUCCCCGAGCUCAACUGGGAAUUGCGCUUGUGACUGCAAGGCUAGAGUGUGUCAGAGGGGGGUAGAAUUCCACGUGUAGCAGUGAAAUGCGUAGAGAUGUGGAGGAAUACCGAUGGCGAAGGCAGCCCCCUGGGACAUGACUGACGCUCAUGCACGAAAGCGUGGGGAGCAAACAGG